GUGCCAGCAGCCGCGGUAAUACAGAGGUCUCGAGCGUUAAUCGGAAUUACUGGGCUUAAAGGGUGCGUAGGCGGUUCCGUAAGUGCCUUGUGAAAUCCCAUGGCUUAACCAUGGAAUUGCUCGGUAGACUGCGGGGCUUGAGGUCAGUAGGGGUCGCUGGAACUCUAGGUGGAGCGGUGAAAUGCGUAGAUAUCUAGAGGAACGCCAAAGGUGAAGACAGGCGACUGGGCUGAAUCUGACGCUGAGGCACGAAAGCGUGGGUAGCGAACGGGAUUAGAAACCCUCGUAGUCC
rnacentral:rRNA from 1 species